ensembl:lncRNA
CAGAAGAAAAGGGAGCCAGUGUUGUGAUGGGAUGUAAGGCAUGUUGGAUUCAGGAGACUGCAGACCAGAAAGACUGGAACUUGUGGACCUACUCACCUCCUUUGUAUCUGCCUAAACUGGAACCUUUGCUGUAGACAUUUCUUUGUGGAUUUAUCUGAAAAACUAAGGAAAAGAAUAUUUGAGGUCCAUUUCUAAGGAAAGAAAGGAAGAAAUGACAGAAUGCCUAGAGUUGAAACCAGUUAAACUGGUAAACAUUGCUAUCUUCAGAAAAUAAGUUAAGGAAUGAGAGGCAAGGAAGAAAGGACAUUCAUCUUGGAAGGACCUAAAGCACUUUGAAAUUUAAAAGAAUGUAAUGACAGCUGCUAAAACCACCUUUGUCACCGAAAUGGAUGAAGUACUUCAAAUUUAAAUGGUAACCUGAAUUCCCAUAUCAUGUUAUAUUUCCUCCAAGAACUUUAGAUGACUUGAAAGGAUUUCUUUUUUAAGUUUAAAUAUUUACCUUACAAAUACCAAAGUGUAGAUAAAGCUAAUUUUAUAACUUGUUUAGAAUAGUCAAGUUUUUAUUUUGUUUCUUAAUGCUUGACCCUAAUAUUAGCCAAAAGAAUUGUUGCUUUUUUCCUCAGAUUAUGAACUUCUUGACUUGGAAACAGAUAAGCUUAUUAGUUGAGUAGUAAAAUAGCAUAGAACUAGUAUACUUAUAAGUCCAUCCUUUACCAAAUAUUUUUUCCUUUCGUGAAAGUAACCCAGGCAACAUAAAUGAUAGUAUCCUAUCACGUAUGCAGAGGUUUUUCAGUCUUGUUUUCUGAACUUUAUUUUAUAUUGUUUUUUAAUUUCCUUACAUGACAUCUGGUCUCUUGAUCUUUUUCCUUUCAUAUCCGACAUCUUAUUUUAAUUUUAUUUUAUCCUCUGCCCCCCCUCAGGAAUUUAGGAUUACCCUAAAUUUGGAUCCUAGUGUAAAGAAACAUAGGAUCCAAAAAAAAAGGAUAGGCAUUUGAUUUGAAAAGGUUAUAAAAUUAUUUCUUAUUGUAAAACUGCAGUGACUGCUAUAUUUUAAGUAGAGUGGAAAGCAAGUAUAGAAAGACUUAAAAUUUUUUGUCAACUCAAACGUUUGCAACUUUUUUUUUUUUUUUUUAAAUUUUCCCACUGUACAGCAAGGGGGUCAGGUUAUCCUUACAUGUAUACAUUACAAUUACAUUUUUUCCCCCACCCUUUCUUCUGUUGCAACAUGAGUAUCUAGACAAACAAUCAAACACAGUAUCAAUUACUAGUCCUAAUGAUUCUAAGGAAGGCAGACCUUUUAUUUCAAGGCAAUUAUUUAAAUUGACUAGUGUAAACCAGGAUAAAUAGUAUGCAAGGAAUUAGGUACUAAUCACUCUCCCCUGUGCUUAACAUUAACCUGGAUGGAAAAUAACCUCAACAUUGAUUUUUUUAAAAAAUUCUCUAAUUAUUAAAAUUCUCUACUUAUGGCAUAAUUAGAACAUUCCAUGUUCUUGUCACUACCAGCCAUGUACUACUGUUUAGCCUUUUUUAAAUGUCCAGUAAAUUUUUUCUUGUCCUCAGUCAUUAAAAGAUUAAAUAAAAUUGAGGAAAGUAACUUUGGAAACACAGCUGAAAUUCAAAUGCUAAAUGUUAACAUAUACAGGUAAGGUAACAUGUAGGGUCAUCAAAGUUCCCUUCCUUCUCCAUUGAUGAGCUGAGUUUUCUUUACACAUUUGAUUCUGUCCAAUUCCAUAAUCUCAUAUAACUACAGUUUCAUUAAUGAAUCAAAACCGAACUACCUUGUCAAAAUUUUUACCACUCUUACUUCCAUUUAAAUUCAUCUCCCAGUAACCAUGUAUAGAUAGAAUCACUGAAUUUUAUAGGCAGUGGAUUUUUCUAAUCAUUAAUUUCCACUUUUUUCACUACCAAAUUUGUUUUUAGAGUUAUAGUAUUAACAAGGAACAGAUUAAAUUAGACCUUGACCUCUCUACAAAAUAAAACAAAAGAACUGCCUUGAUUCUUCCAGCAAGUCCAGUUCCAAAGUCAUGUUACUCACAUGCAUUAGCUCUGUAGAAUCAAAGAACACCACCUGUAUUUACAUAUUAUUUAAUUUUUCUGGCCCCAUCUAAGCUGAGUGCCCCCAAAAUCACAAAUCUACCAUGGCUUUCGAAGAGGGAAUGGAGUCAGAUUUCUGAUUGUGCAACUAACAGAAUUUCUAAUUUGUACAGUUAGAAAUUCACAUUUCUAAUUGUGCAAACUAUCAUGGUCACUUUGAAGGGCCUAAAAUUUAAAAGAUGGUAUUCUAGCUAUGUCAAAGUCGAGUCAAACACUCAGUUUUACCUAAGUUCAUGUCAUCAUCUUAAAAUUAUUGUUCUUCAGAGUAGGGGGAGUAUAUAUUGUUACAGACAGCAAGACCACUCUAAACAACGUAUGUCAGGAAUCUUAAACUCAUAAAGUCUCAGUAGGCUUUUAGAACAUCCUCUACAACACCUUCAUUUAGGAAAACUCCUUCUGGAGGGAAGCCUGUGUGUAAUUUGCCUAGACAGGAAGGAACUGAAAGUAAUAGUAAUUAAUAUGUCUUGAGUGAUUACCAAAUGCCUAGCAUUGGAAUUAGUGCUUAAUAUGCUUUAUCUUAAGCCUCACCACUCUGUUUGACAUAGGUCUUAUUAUUAAAUCUCUCUCUUACAUGUGAGGAAACACAUUCUCAAAGAAGUACAUUGUCCUUUGUCAAGUUGAUAGUUUGAGGUAGAGCCAGAUCUGUCUGUCUCUAUAACCUGAGCUCUUAUCCAGGAGUUUAUUCUAAUUUACAAAUAUUCAAUACAACUUAUUGAAGUUUUUCUUUACCUAGUGGCAAAUAAGGUCUUAUUAUUAGUAGCAUUCUCAUUUCAGCUUUGUAAAAAAUUAUGCUCCUUUAAAAUAUAUAGGAUUUUUCUUUUACAGCAUCAGUUUAGUUUUGUGAAUAAUUUACCAUUGUUUUGAUUAUGUUCUUAAAGUAUUAGUUAUUACUUUGUAGAAAAGAAACCUUAAUCUACUAAGUAAAGGGUAAGUUACUUGAAGGUAAUAUCAUUAGAUCCACAUUUUAUCUGAGAUAGAGACAGAGCACAGAGAAAGAUAGGAGACAUGGGUGAGGAAAACAAUGCAAAACUGACCUCUUUACUUAUUGUUCUCCCUUAAAAUCUUCAUUGUUUUUCAUCUCAGAAACUGUACUGUUACUAAAAACUAAAAUAGUAAUGAAUCUGGAGACCAGUUUAUCUUCAUGGCAUAAAUUUUCUGUUAAAUUUAUGUCCCUUUCAAGUAGGUACUUCUUUUCCUAAUUGUAGAAAACUAAGUACAUUAACCUGUUAUCAAGGUUUGAUAUGAUUAAACUUAUCUCAGACUCAGCAUAUUAAAGAUAUCAAUUCUCCAUAAAUUGAUGUGUACGCUUAACUCAGUUCCUGAAAUCUCAGCAAGAUUAAAAAUCUGUAUGGAAAGCCAAAGAAAUUAGAACAGCUAAAACGAUUUUGAAAAAGAAGAAGAAAAUAGAAGGAACCACUCUACCCAGUGGUUACAUAGCCAUGGUGCUUAAGACUGGUGUUGACAGUAAGAUAAAAAUCAAUAGUACAGAGUAGAUAACCCCAGAAUAGUCCCAAACAAGUAUAGCCAGCUUAUGUAUUUAAAAAACAAAAGGGUAAAGCCAAUUCAAUGGAGAAUUGAAUAUUCAUAGG